rnacentral:rRNA from 1 species
CGUACGGGGGGCAGCAGUGGGGAAUAUUGGACAAUGGGGGCAACCCUGAUCCAGCCAUGCCGCGUGUGUGAAGAAGGCCCUCGGGUUGUAAAGCACUUUCAGUGAGGAAGAACGCCUGGUGGUUAAUACCCAUCAGGAAAGACAUCACUCACAGAAGAAGCACCGGCUAACUCCGUGCCAGCAGCCGCGGUAAUACGGAGGGUGCGAGCGUUAAUCGGAAUUACUGGGCGUAAAGCGCGCGUAGGUGGCUUGAUAAGCCGGUUGUGAAAGCCCCGGGCUCAACCUGGGAACGGCAUCCGGAACUGUCAAGCUAGAGUGCAGGAGAGGAAGGUAGAAUUCCCGGUGUAGCGGUGAAAUGCGUAGAGAUCGGGAGGAAUACCAGUGGCGAAGGCGGCCUUCUGGACUGACACUGACACUGAGGUGCGAAAGCGUGGGUAGCAAACAGGAUUAGAUACCCCGGUAGUC